AACGAACGCUGGCGGCGGGCCUAACACAUGCAAGUCGAACGCUCCCUUCGGGGAGAGUGGCAGACGGGUGAGUAACACGUGGGAAUCUUCCUGUUGGUUCGGAAUAGCUCAGGGAAACUUGGGGUAAUACCGGAUAAGCCCGAGAGGGGAAAGAUUUAUUGCCGACAGAUGAGCACGCGUCUGAUUAGCUUGUUGGUGAGGUAACGGCUCACCAAGGCGACGAUCAGUAGCUGGUCUGAGAGGAUGAUCAGCCACACUGGGACUGAGACACGGCCCAGACUCCUACGGGAGGCAGCAGUGGGGAAUAUUGGACAAUGGGCGCAAGCCUGAUCCAGCCAUGCCGCGUGAGUGACGAAGGUCUUCGGAUUGUAAAGCUCUUUUGGCGGGGACGAUAAUGACGGUACCCGCAGAAUAAAGCCCCGGCUAACUUCGUGCCAGCAGCCGCGGUAAG
rnacentral:rRNA from 1 species